UUUGGAAUUUUGCACAAUGGGCGAAAGCCUGAUGCAGCGACGCCGCGUGGACGAUGAAGGCCUUCGGGUUGUAAAGUCCUUUUGGCAGGGAACAAUAUUUGAGUGUACCUGCAGAAUAAGAGGUUGCUAACUCUGUGCCAGCAGCAGCGGUAAUACAGAGACCUCAAGCGUUAUCCGGAAUCAUUGGGCGUAAAGCGUACCGACAGGUGGUUUAGAAAGUCAGAAGUGAAAUCUCUCAGCUUAACUGGGAGAAUGUCUUUUGAAACUUCUAAACUAGAGGGACAAAGAGGAAGCUGGAACGAACGGUGUAGUAGUGAAAUGCGUUGAUAUCGUUCGGAACACCAAUAGCGUAGGCAGGCUUCUGGGUGUCACCUGACACUGCUAGGACGAAAGCGUGGGG
rnacentral:rRNA from 1 species